rnacentral:rRNA from 1 species
GAUGAACGCUGGCGGCGUGCCUAAUACAUGCAAGUCGAGCGAACAGACGAGGAGCUUGCUCCUUUGACGUUAGCGGCGGACGGGUGAGUAACACGUGGAUAACCUACCUAUAAGACUGGGAUAACUUCGGGAAACCGGAGCUAAUACCGGAUAACAUGUUGAACCGCAUGGUUCAACAGUGAAAGACGGUCUUGCUGUCACUUAUAGGUGGAUCCGCGCCGCAUUAGCUAGUUGGUAAGGUAACGGCUUACCAAGGCAACGAUGCGUAGCCGACCUGAGAGGGUGAUCGGCCACACUGGAACUGAGACACGGUCCAGACUCCUACGGGAGGCAGCAGUAGGGAAUCUUCCGCAAUGGGCGAAAGCCUGACGGAGCAACGCCGCGUGAGUGAAGAAGGUCUUCGGAUCGUAAAACUCUGUUAUUAGGGAAGAACAAAUGUGUAAGUAACUAUGCACGUCUUGACGGUACCUAAUCAGAAAGCCACGGCUAACUACGUG